UAUUAAUAAUUCCGUCUAGCCCAUGCCUAAUUAGUCCAUACUAAUCUAGAUUAGUUCAUGGUCUAGGUCUUAGGUCUACGGAAGAUCUGAAUGAAAUUUUGAAAAUCAAAUUAAAGUGCAUAAAAAAUAAGAGUUUUGAAUCGGCGACAUAUACCUUUUGGCAGAAUUCGGAUUGUCGCGUAUUUUGGAUUUCCAAGUGUUAAUUUAUUUUGAUGAAUUCUGAAAUUGAUCUACAAUUAUGUUGUUAAAAAUGUUGGCUAGGAUAGCUAGGUCAGCGUGUAGGCCUCAAUAAAACUAUUUUGAAGAACGACUAAGUACUGUCUGUGUAUCGCCUAACCAUCAAUUGCCUCGACAUCAAAGAGCUCCUCGGAUCGGAUUUCUUUGAUGAUUUUCCGUGGCGCCAACUGGUGAGCACGAAAACGGUAGUCCUCAUUAUUGCUACUUCAGAAGGGGAAGGGGAGGAAGAGCAGGAGGAUAUAGAACAAAGUUACCUAUUUAAAUGAUUUAAAACAUCAUGGCCGGAAGACCACCUAAAAGACGGAAAUAUACAAGUGGCCUCUAGUGGAAUAACCAGAGAUGAGUCACUAUCACAAACUACUAUGUACUGCGCCAAAGCUGCUGAAAUAAUGGCGUAAUAAUACCAGCUGAUGCUUUUUAGUCCGGGGGCCAGCUGCAUGAAAUCACCUGCGAGUAUGCGCCCACUGUUGGGCAUACGCCUCUCCAAAUCUCCUCCAAGCAGCCCGAUUUGCUGCUUCUCUCCUCCAGAGUGGACCUGCAAUCUUUACGGAGGAUACCUUGUUAUAAGUAUGUAAGAAUAGUAGAUUGUAGGAGAGAACGGAAAACCGCUAAAAGAUGGACGAGUGAGUUUGAGGGCCGACACGUUAGUGCAUGGAAGCCCUCAAAUAAUACGAUACGAGUCCAUCUUUAGCGUUUCCGGCCGAGGCAUUACAUAGUACAUAGUACUUUUCACGACUACUGCGAGGAAAUAAGAAAACAUUUGCAUAACUAUAAGUACUAGCCCGCGAUUUAUCUGGUGGCAAAUUAUUAGAAUUUCGAUAUAGGCGUCAGCGUAAGGAUAUCAUUUUCUUCACUAGAAGAACUCUAAAUAUAGCGAGCGUAGAUACGUGUUUCUUGUAUUAUUUUGUCAAACACAAUUUACACUAUCCAAUUCAGAAGUAAGUAUUAUUAUAUUUUCCGAUCCCGCCUUUUUUACUUUUCUUAUCACUUUUAAGAGGCUUUUUUCUGUUGUUGACACGAGUUGUCGCAACUCGUGUCGAUUUAUCGCCACUCGUUUCGAAUUUCCUCUUUUCCGCACUUGUAUCGUAAAUAACGAUUAUUGAUUUUUAUUAUAUUUUUAUGUUUUAAAUGAUACUCAUUGCUGUAGCGAACCACAACUAAUGACAGAUGAUGAUAAGUAACAAUGAAACAUUGUAGUAGUGGUGGUUCAAGUGCUACAGCUAUAGCCUACUUUCCAACUUGGUUUGAGACCAUCUAUUGCCACAUUUCCGAACAGUGGCGAGAAAAACAUAAUUAUAAUGUCAACAAAAAGAUAAUAGAAAUUGCAAAAGUCAAUUUGUUCCUAUUAGUUAACUCUCCUUGUCCCCGGAUUAAGUUUAUUUUUGUAAUACUAAGUGUGUUUUUGUUGUACUUUUCUCUCAGUGUGACACCCUUAUGCCUUAUAAAGGGUUAAGUCAUGUUAUGGUUGUCGCAUGUAUAAAACUUAUAAUUAGAUCUGAUUAUUACUUACAAAUAGGUAUUUUUACUAUUUUUGCGAUAGGUACCCUACCAGAGUCCAUGUGCCUAUAUGUUGCUAUGUAGUCUACUCGUAUGUAAUAUAAAUAUGUAAGUACAUUGGAUGCAAAAUAAAGAUCUCUAUCUCUACGUUUUGGAGGAGGAAAAUCUUGACAUUUUCCUAACCUAACCAAAACCUCUAUUUCUAAGAUUUUUACGCAGGGUUUUUCGUCUAUGCUGCAGUUGUCUUUAUCGCACAAAUUUUAGGAGCCGCACCCAUCAGCGCGACGGAGAUAUUUACCUAAAAUUCUCAAAUCUGAGGAGGGGCUCAGCUGGUAUUUCCUCUUAUUUAAUUGACUUAGUUAUAAAUAAUAUAAAGUAAACUAUACUGUCGUUGCAUAAAUAUUUAAUCAAUUAUUCGUACACUUAACAUAUUUAUUAAUGAUAUACACCUACAUGCUGAGAUACGAGUCUACGUACAUAUAUGUAUAAUAUUUAAACAUUGCUACAUUCAUUACGUAUAUAAUCGAAAAAUAUUGGAUUACCAACGAGUUUUCUUUUGAUUCUAUUUCAAAAUACUUCACUCGUACGGGAGAGCGGGGACAAACGUAACAUUUUGUAUUUCGACCUCAGUUUCUGGGUUAUUAUUUUGAUGAAAUUAAUGUAGUCAUAAUAUAGAUUCAGUUAAUUGUCUCAUGAAGAUUUACCUUAUAAUUGUGUAUUUUAGAGUGACUUUAAAAAAAAUGUCUGUUGUUACAUAAGAUAUGACCCGUAGGCGGGCCGAACGUAAAUAAAGUAAUAUACAUGUAGUAAAUAAUUAUACAUGUACAGUACAUACCUAAUUCAUGAAACAAUAUAUAUAAAAAAGUUUAGUUUGUUAAAAUUUGCAAGGUGUCUCAGGAACCUCGCAGAGGAGGGGCCAAUUGAUGUCCGACCCGUGACACUUCUAAUACCAUCUAUAUAUCGUCGGGUGACAAGCAAAAAUCACUAACUAACACCAUUGAAAUUAUUGGACAAUUAACCGUAUUACAAGCGUAUUAAAGUGCAUUGUUACUUUAAUUUUUUGAUAGUCCUAAGUGACUUUUAUUUGUCACCCGACGAUAUAAUAAUAAUAAACAAAACAUUUUACUACUUUGUCAAUCGUGAAGUAUACAAUUAUUAUUUGGGUGUAUGAUUGUAUAAUAUUUAAUACAAAUAUUGUAGUUAUAAGGAAGAAAUAAAUUGAAGUGCAGAGGUAAAAAGGGACUAAAAAUAUUCCACCUGUCACUUUAGAAUGACCCUUAUGUGUUAUAAAAUUACUAAGAUUGAUUAUUUAUAUUUUAUAAAAUUAAUAAUGCAUAAGUACCUGAUGCGAAUUGCCGAUUUAGUAGAAAUCUGAAUUUUUAAAAAUGUGACGUCAC